rnacentral:rRNA from 1 species
GACGAACGCUGGCGGCGUGCCUAAUACAUGCAAGUCGAACGCAAAACUUUCACCGAAUGCUUGCAUUCACGAAAGUUUUGAGUGGCGAACGGGUUAGUAACACGUGGGUAACCUGCCCAGAAGAGGGGGAUAACACUUGGAAACAGGUGCUAAUACCGCAUAAUAACAAAAACCGCAUGGUUUUUGUUUGAAAGAUGGUUUUGCUAUCACUUCUGGAUGUACACGCGGCGUAUUAGCUAGUUGGUAAGGUAAAGGCUUACCAAGGCAAUGAUACGUAGCCGAACUGAGAGGUUGAUCGGCCACAUUGGGACUGAGACACGGCCCAAACUCCUACGGGAGGCAGCAGUAGGGAAUCUUCCACAAUGGACGAAAGUCUGAUGGAGCAACGCCGCGUGAGUGAAGAAGGUUUUCGGAUCGUAAAACUCUGUUGUUAGAGAAGAACGUGUGUGAGAGUAACUGCUCAUGCAGUGACGGUAUCUAACCAGAAAGCCACGGCUAACUACGUGCCAGCCGCCGCAGUAA